ACUAAGCGUACACGGUGGAUGCCCUGGCAGUCAGAGGCGAUGAAGGACGUGCUAAUCUGCGAUAAGCGUCGGUAAGGUGAUAUGAACCGUUAUAACCGGCGAUUUCCGAAUGGGGAAACCCAGUGUGAUUCGUCACACUAUCAUUAACUGAAUCCAUAGGUUAAUGAGGCGAACCGGGGGAACUGAAACAUCUAAGUACCCCGAGGAAAAGAAAUCAACCGAGAUUCCCCCAGUAGCGGCGAGCGAACGGGGAGCAGCCCAGAGCCUGAAUCAGUGUGUGUGUUAGUGGAAGCGUCUGGAAAGGCGCGCGAUACAGGGUGACAGCCCCGUACACAAAAAUGCACAUGCUGUGAGCUCGAUGAGUAGGGCGGGACACGUGGUAUCCUGUCUGAAUAUGGGGGGACCAUCCUCCAAGGCUAAAUACUCCUGACUGACCGAUAGUGAACCAGUACCGUGAGGGAAAGGCGAAAAGAACCCCGGCGAGGGGAGUGAAAAAGAACCUGAAACCGUGUACGUACAAGCAGUGGGAGCACGCUUAGGCGUGUGACUGCGUACCUUUUGUAUAAUGGGUCAGCGACUUAUAUUCUGUAGCAAGGUUAACCGAAUAGGGGAGCCGAAGGGAAACCGAGUCUUAACUGGGCGUUAAGUUGCAGGGUAUAGACCCGAAACCCGGUGAUCUAGCCAUGGGCAGGUUGAAGGUUGGGUAACACUAACUGGAGGACCGAACCGACUAAUGUUGAAAAAUUAGCGGAUGACUUGUGGCUGGGGGUGAAAGGCCAAUCAAACCGGGAGAUAGCUGGUUCUCCCCGAAAGCUAUUUAGGUAGCGCCUCGUGAAUUCAUCUCCGGGGGUAGAGCACUGUUUCGGCAAGGGGGUCAUCCCGACUUACCAACCCGAUGCAAACUGCGAAUACCGGAGAAUGUUAUCACGGGAGACACACGGCGGGUGCUAACGUCCGUCGUGAAGAGGGAAACAACCCAGACCGCCAGCUAAGGUCCCAAAGUCAUGGUUAAGUGGGAAACGAUGUGGGAAGGCCCAGACAGCCAGGAUGUUGGCUUAGAAGCAGCCAUCAUUUAAAGAAAGCGUAAUAGCUCACUGGUCGAGUCGGCCUGCGCGGAAGAUGUAACGGGGCUAAACCAUGCACCGAAGCUGCGGCAGCGACGCUUAUGCGUUGUUGGGUAGGGGAGCGUUCUGUAAGCCUGUGAAGGUGUGCUGUGAGGCAUGCUGGAGGUAUCAGAAGUGCGAAUGCUGACAUAAGUAACGAUAAAGCGGGUGAAAAGCCCGCUCGCCGGAAGACCAAGGGUUCCUGUCCAACGUUAAUCGGGGCAGGGUGAGUCGACCCCUAAGGCGAGGCCGAAAGGCGUAGUCGAUGGGAAACAGGUUAAUAUUCCUGUACUUGGUGUUACUGCGAAGGGGGGACGGAGAAGGCUAUGUUGGCCGGGCGACGGUUGUCCCGGUUUAAGCGUGUAGGCUGGUUUUCCAGGCAAAUCCGGAAAAUCAAGGCUGAGGCGUGAUGACGAGGCACUACGGUGCUGAAGCAACAAAUGCCCUGCUUCCAGGAAAAGCCUCUAAGCAUCAGGUAACAUCAAAUCGUACCCCAAACCGACACAGGUGGUCAGGUAGAGAAUACCAAGGCGCUUGAGAGAACUCGGGUGAAGGAACUAGGCAAAAUGGUGCCGUAACUUCGGGAGAAGGCACGCUGAUAUGUAGGUGAAGUCCCUCGCGGAUGGAGCUGAAAUCAGUCGAAGAUACCAGCUGGCUGCAACUGUUUAUUAAAAACACAGCACUGUGCAAACACGAAAGUGGACGUAUACGGUGUGACGCCUGCCCGGUGCCGGAAGGUUAAUUGAUGGGGUUAGCGCAAGCGAAGCUCUUGAUCGAAGCCCCGGUAAACGGCGGCCGUAACUAUAACGGUCCUAAGGUAGCGAAAUUCCUUGUCGGGUAAGUUCCGACCUGCACGAAUGGCGUAAUGAUGGCCAGGCUGUCUCCACCCGAGACUCAGUGAAAUUGAACUCGCUGUGAAGAUGCAGUGUACCCGCGGCAAGACGGAAAGACCCCGUGAACCUUUACUAUAGCUUGACACUGAACAUUGAGCCUUGAUGUGUAGGAUAGGUGGGAGGCUUUGAAGUGUGGACGCCAGUCUGCAUGGAGCCGACCUUGAAAUACCACCCUUUAAUGUUUGAUGUUCUAACGUUGACCCGUAAUCCGGGUUGCGGACAGUGUCUGGUGGGUAGUUUGACUGGGGCGGUCUCCUCCUAAAGAGUAACGGAGGAGCACGAAGGUUGGCUAAUCCUGGUCGGACAUCAGGAGGUUAGUGCAAUGGCAUAAGCCAGCUUGACUGCGAGCGUGACGGCGCGAGCAGGUGCGAAAGCAGGUCAUAGUGAUCCGGUGGUUCUGAAUGGAAGGGCCAUCGCUCAACGGAUAAAAGGUACUCCGGGGAUAACAGGCUGAUACCGCCCAAGAGUUCAUAUCGACGGCGGUGUUUGGCACCUCGAUGUCGGCUCAUCACAUCCUGGGGCUGAAGUAGGUCCCAAGGGUAUGGCUGUUCGCCAUUUAAAGUGGUACGCGAGCUGGGUUUAGAACGUCGUGAGACAGUUCGGUCCCUAUCUGCCGUGGGCGCUGGAGAACUGAGGGGGGCUGCUCCUAGUACGAGAGGACCGGAGUGGACGCAUCACUGGUGUUCGGGUUGUCAUGCCAAUGGCACUGCCCGGUAGCUAAAUGCGGAAGAGAUAAGUGCUGAAAGCAUCUAAGCACGAAACUUGCCCCGAGAUGAGUUCUCCCUGACUCCUUGAGAGUCCUGAAGGAACGUUGAAGACGACGACGUUGAUAGGCCGGGUGUGUAAGCGCAGCGAUGCGUUGAGCUAACCGGUACUAAUGAACCGUGAGGCUUAACC
rnacentral:rRNA from 1 species